rnacentral:rRNA from 1 species
AAUAGAUACCCGGGUAGUCCACGCCGUAAACGAUGAAUACUAGGUGUCGGAGGGUACCACCUUCGGUGCCGCAGCAAACGCAAUAAGUAUUCCGCCUGGGGAGUACGGUCGCAAGAUUAAAACUCAAAGGAAUUGACGGGGACCCGCACAAGCAGCGGAGCAUGUGGUUUAAUUCGAAGCAACGCGAAGAACCUUACCUAGACUUGACAUCUCCUGAAUUACUCGUAACGGAGGAAGCCCUUCGGGGCAGGAAGACAGGUGGUGCAUGGUUGUCGUCAGCUCGUGUCGUGAGAUGUUGGGUUAAGUCCCGCAACGAGCGCAACCCUUAUUGUUAGUUGCUACCAUUAAGUUGAGCACUCUAACGAGACUGCCGCGGUUAACGUGGAGGAAGGUGGGGAUGACGUCAAAUCAUCAUGCCCCUUAUGUCUAGGGCUACACACGUGCUACAAUGGCCGGUACAACAAGAUGCAAUCCCGUGAGGGGGAGCUAAACUCAAAAGCCGGUCCCAGUUCGGAUUGUAGGCUGAAACUCGCCUACAUGAAGUUGGAGUU